GUUUGCAUCGCACGAGGGGGCUGGUGUUGCACGAGGGGUUUGCAUCGCACGAGGGGGCUGGUGUUGCACGAGGGGUUUGCAUCGCACGAGGGGGCUGGUGUUGCACGAGGGGCUUGUGUCGCACAAGAACUCAGUGGGGCAGGAACCCCAUCACGUCGUGUGUGGGGCUCCGCGUGUGGGGCACGAGGUCUCUCCUCUCACGAGGGCUCCUUGUGUCGCACGAGGGCUCUUGGUGUUGCACGAGGGCUCCUUGUGUUGCACGAGGGCUCACGAGGACCCCCCUGCCCCACAUCCUGCCCCACAUCCUGCCCCCCAGCUCUCCAUCCGCUGCGGGAACCAUCGCUUCAAGAUCUUCGCCGAGGGGCAGCCCCUCUGUCACUUCGCCCAUCGCCUGCCCCCCGGGCCCCACGCCGACACCCUGGAGGUGGAGGGCGACGUCGUCCUCUCCUACGUCCACUUCUGAGCCCCAUAGAUCGCCCCAUAGAUCGCCCCACAUCCUGCCCCACAUCCUGCCCCAUAGCGUGUCCCAUGGGCUGACCCAUCCACACGCUGGAGGUGGAGGAUGAGUUUGUCUUCUCCUACGUCCACUUCUGAGCCCCAUAGAUCGCCCCAUAGAUCGCCCCAUAGUGCCCCACAACCUGCCCCAUAGUGCCCCACAUCCUGCCCGACAUCCCGCCCCAUAGAUCACCCCACAU
rnacentral:lncRNA from 1 species